GCUUACGGCAUACCACCCUGAACACGCCCGAUCUCGUCCGAUCUCGGAAGCUAAGCAGGGUCGGGCCUGGUUAGUACUUGGAUGGGAGACCGCCUGGGAAUACCAGGUGCUGUAAGCU
ensembl:rRNA 5S_rRNA 5S ribosomal RNA